UGUUUUCUGUGGAGUUUUUAAUUCAUGACGUUUUGUUAUUUCGGAUUUGUGAUGUGUGAUCAAAUGUUUACCUGCCAGAGCUAUAUAUGUAAAUGCCAGUAUUAUAUGGAGAAACUUUGAGGUAGCGGGGCAGUAGUGUAGUGUCCCUUUAAGAGAGGAGUGUGCUGUGAGGUCACGUGACCAGUGUUUACUGAGUGAAAAGGAAGCGCGAUUCACUUAGUUGGUAACGACUUCCAACCCGGUGUGCAGCCACUUGGUUUUUUACCUGGUUCCCCUUUUUAAGAAAUAAACAAACAAAUGAGGAAUCUCGAGUAAAAUCCUAUGUAUGCCGGGUUGCCCUUUCCGUGGGGAGAAAACGGAACAGU